rnacentral:rRNA from 1 species
GAGGGGCAGCACGAGUACUUGUACUUGGUGGCGACCGGCGCACGGGUGCGUAACGCGUAUGCAACCUACCCAUUACUGGGAGAUAGCCCGGGGAAACCCGGAUUAAUACCCCAUAGUACUAUAAUGUGGCAUCAUAUAAUAGUUAAAGAUUUAUUGGUAAUGGAUGGGCAUGCGUGUCAUUAGUUAGUUGGUGAGGUAACGGCUCACCAAGACAGCGAUGACUAGGGGGCCUGAGAGGGUGAUCCCCCACACUGGUACUGAGAUACGGACCAGACUCCUACGGGAGGCAGCAGUAGGGAAUAUUGGUCAAUGGAGGAGACUCUGAACCAGCCAUGCCGCGUGCAGGAAGACGGCCUUCUGGGUUGUAAACUGCUUUUGACAGGGAAGAAAACGGCCAUGCGUGGCUAACUGACGGUACCUGUAGAAUAAGCACCGGCUAACUCCGUGCCAGCAGCCGCGGUAAUACGGAGGGUGCAAGCGUUGUCCGGAUUUAUUGGGUUUAAAGGGUACGUAGGUGGCCCUAUAAGUCAGUGGUGAAAUGCUGCAGCUUAACUGUAGCACUGCCAUUGAUACUGUAGGGCUUGAGUGUCGUUGAGGCAGGCG